GGCGUGCUUACACAUGCAAGUCGAACGCUGAAGCACCAGCUUGCUGGUGUGGAUGAGUGGCGAACGGGUGAGUAAUACGUGAGUAACCUGCCCUUGACUCUGGGAUAAGCCCGGGAAACUGGGUCUAAUACUGGAUGCUACAUGUCACCGCAUGGUGGUGUGUGGAAAGGGUUUACUGGUCUUGGAUGGGCUCACGGCCUAUCAGCUUGUUGGUGAGGUAAUGGCUCACCAAGGCGACGACGGGUAGCCGGCCUGAGAGGGUGACCGGCCACACUGGGACUGAGACACGGCCCAGACUCCUACGGGAGGCAGCAGUGGGGAAUAUUGCACAAUGGGCGAAAGCCUGAUGCAGCGACGCCGCGUGAGGGAUGACGGCCUUCGGGUUGUAAACCUCUUUCAGCAGGGAAGAAGCCACAAGUGACGGUACCUGCAGAAGAAGCGCCGGCUAACUACGUGCCAGCAGCCGCGGUAAUACGUAGGGCGCAAGCGUUGUCCGGAAUUAUUGGGCGUAAAGAGCUCGUAGGCGGUUUGUCGCGUCUGCUGUGAAAGCCCGGGGCUUAACCCCGGGUGUGCAGUGGGUACGGGCAGACUAGAGUGCAGUAGGGGAGACUGGAAUUCCUGGUGUAGCGGUGGAAUGCGCAGAUAUCAGGAGGAACACCGAUGGCGAAGGCAGGUCUCUGGGCUGUUACUGACGCUGAGGAGCGAAAGCAUGGGGAGCGAACAGGAUUAGAUACCCUGGUAGUCCAUGCCGUAAACGUUGGGCACUAGGUGUGGGGGACAUUCCACGUUUUCCGCGCCGUAGCUAACGCAUUAAGUGCCCCGCCUGGGGAGUACGGCCGCAAGGCUAAAACUCAAAGGAAUUGACGG
rnacentral:rRNA from 1 species